UACGGGGGGGGCAAGCGUUGUUCGGAAUUACUGGGCGUAAAGGGCUCGUAGGCGGCCAACUAAGUCAGACGUGAAAUCCCCAGGCUCAACCCGGGAACUGCGUCCGAUACUGGCAGGCUUGAAUCCGGGAGAGGGAUGUGGAAUUCCAGGUGUAGCGGUGAAAUGCGUAGAUAUCUGGAGGAACACCGGUGGCGAAGGCGGCAUCCUGGACCGGUAUUGACGCUGAUGCGCGAAAGCCAGGGGAGCAAACGGG
rnacentral:rRNA from 1 species